CCUACGGGGGACAGCAGUGGGGAAUAUUGCACAAUGGGGGAAACCCUGAUGCAGCGACGCCGCGUGAGUGAAGAAGUAAUUCGUUAUGUAAAGCUCUAUCAGCAGGGAAGUAAAUGACGGUACCUGAGUAAGAAGCAACGGCUAACUCCGUGCCAGCAGCCGCGGCAAUACGUAGGCGGCAAGCGUUAUCCGGAUUUACUGGGUGUAAAGGGGGCGUAGACGGCAGUGUAAGUGUGGAGUGAAAGGCGGAGGCUCAACCCCCGGACUGCUCUGGAAACUGUACGGCUGGAGUGCAGUAGAGGUAGGUGGAAUUCCUAGUGUAGCGGUGAAAUGCAUAGAUAUUAGAAGGAACACCAGUGGCGAAGGCGGCUUACUAGACUGUAACUGACGUUGAGGCUCGAAAGCGUGGGGAGCAAACAGGAUUAGAUACCCUAGUAGUC
rnacentral:rRNA from 1 species